rnacentral:rRNA from 1 species
UAGGGAAUAUUGCAAAAUGGGCGAAAGCCCGAUGCAGCAACGCCGCGUGGGCGAUGAAGGCCUUCGGGUCGUAAAGCCCUUUUUGAGGGGAUGAGGAAGGACAGUACCCCCAGAAUAAGCCUCGGCUAACUACGUGCCAGCAGCCGCGGUAAAACGUAGGAGGCGAGCGUUAUCCGGAUUUACUGGGCGUAAAGCGCGUGCAGGCGGAUUGGAGAGUUGGAUGUGAAAGCUCCCGGCUUAACUGGGAGAGGUCGUUCAAUACUUCCAGUCUUGAGUGCAGUAGAGGGAAGUGGAAUUCCGGGUGUAGUGGUGAAAUGCGUAGAUAUCCGGAGGAACACCAGUGGCGAAAGCGGCUUCCUGGACUGUAACUGACGCUCAGACGCGAAAGCUAGGGUAGCAAAC